rnacentral:tmRNA from 1 species
GGGGGCGUACCGGCUUCGACGGGGAUGUUGAGGCGUGAUAAGCGGGUCGUGGCGCCAACCACGUUAAAAUGGCACCUUUAUAAAUCAAAGAACAACGAUAACGUAGUUCUCGCCGCCGCGUAAACGCGGCAGCCGUCCU